GGAUGAGCCCGCGGCCUAUCAGCUUGUUGGUGAGGUUACGGCUCACCAAGGCGACGACGGGUAGCCGGCCUGAGAGGGUGUCCGGCCACACUGGGACUGAGAUACGGCCCAGACUCCUACGGGAGGCAGCAGUGGGGAAUAUUGCACAAUGGGCGCAAGCCUGAUGCAGCGACGCCGCGUGAGGGAUGACGGCCUUCGGGUUGUAAACCUCUUUCGCCAGGGACGAAGCGCGAGUGACGGUACCUGGAGAAGAAGCACCGGCCAACUACGUGACAGCAGCCGCGGCCG
rnacentral:rRNA from 1 species